ensembl:ncRNA lncRNA:CR45640 long non-coding RNA:CR45640
GGAUAGCUUGGCUGGCUUGGAUAGCUUGGCUGGUCUGGCUCCGUACCACAGGCAAGACGGCGUCGCUGAUGGAAAAUAAGAAGAGGAAAAUAGUCAUAUAUAUAACCAGCAAAUGAACGAACCAACGAACCAGCUGAAUGAAAGCGGCAGCAACAACAACUGCGAGGACGUCGCUGGCGACUCUUGCAACUGCAACCAGCGGCAGCAGCAACAUCAGCCAUCACCAGGCACCGGACCUGGCCAAGAACGAGAAUUCCAAGUGCUGGUCAUCACGCCGAAAUGGGCAUGCCCUUGCCAACCGAUCGAUACUAUUUUUGUAUGCCAUAGAAACCCUACAUUAGACCAAAAUAAAAAAUGUUUGAAUGAUCUAGGAUAUUUGUAG